rnacentral:rRNA from 1 species
CCUACGGGCUGCUGCAGUGGGGAAUAUUGGACAAUGGGCGAAAGCCUGAUCCAGCCAUGCCGCGUGUGUGAAGAAGGCCUUCGGGUUGUAAAGCACUUUCAGUGGGGAAGAAAGCCUUGGGGCUAAUACCCUCGAGGAAGGACAUCACCCACAGAAUAAGCACCGGCUAACUCCGUGCCAGCAGCCGCGGUAAUACGGAGGGUGCGAGCGUUAAUCGGAAUUACUGGGCGUAAAGCGCGCGUAGGCGGUCUGAUAAGCCGGUUGUGAAAGCCCCGGGCUCAACCUGGGAACGGCAUCCGGAACUGUCAGGAUAGAGUGCAGGAGAGGAAGGUAGAAUUCCCGGUGUAGCGGUGAAAUGCGUAGAGAUCGGGAGGAAUACCAGUGGCGAAGGCGGCCUUCUGGACUGACACUGACGCUGAGGUGCGAAAGCGUGGGUAGCAAACAGGAUUAGAUACCCGGGUAGUC